UCAUUUUAUUUUUGAGGAAGAGGAGAAAAAAUGAGACACUAGAAAAAGUGUUGUGCUAAUCCAAGAAGGAAUAAAGAGAGAAUAAGAACAAAAGAACAUUGAAGAAGAAAAGCAGAAGAGAAAGUGCUGUCCUGUGUGGGCAGGGAAAGGAGGAACCACCUAGGGCCCCAAGACUUGUGCUUGAUAUAUCCAGCAUAUUGGAUGUCUCAUCACUCUGGCUGAGAACAGCUGCUACACUCUGUCAAUGUAUGGGAAGUUUACUCCAAAGGUGUUCAACAGCCUGAGAGGCCACUGAAGCAACAUGAUGCAGAUGUUGAAAGCAACAAGGUGAUGAUUUGAGCAGAGGAACUCUACAAUAGAGAGAGCUCCAAAACAAUGCAGUUCUUAGAGAAAGCAGAGAGAGAGAGGACAUGUCAAUUGGAGAAGUAAGUCUGGUCACAGGCCAAAGGCAGAAGACACUGGACUUAGUGAGGUGAUCUGCAUGGCGAAAGUCAACAAGGAACAAGACAGGGAAGUUGUCAAGUGCAAAUGGGUAGCACCUAUCUUUGUAUUAAUGGGACUUGAUUAUUAAAAAGCAUAACAAGGUU